UUCAAAACUUGAAAGGAAUGAUGACAUCAUUAGCGGGUUCGACUCCGUCU
rnacentral:tRNA from 14 species